rnacentral:rRNA from 1 species
GAUGAACGCUGGCGGCGUGCCUAACACAUGCAAGUCGAACGGAAAGGCCCUGAGUUUGUGGGGUGCUCGAUGGGGGAACGGGUGAGUAACACGUGUGUAACCUGCCCUUGACUUUGGGAGAACAUCACGAAACUGGGGCUAAUAUCGGAUAGGAUCUCCUGCACCGUGGUGGGGGUUGGAAAGUUUCGGCGGUUGGGGAUGGACUAGCGGCUUACCAGCUUGUUGGUCGGGUAGGGGCUGACCAAGGCUUUGAAGGGUAGGCGGCCUGGGAGCGUGGCCGGCGUCAUGGGGACUACGGUACGGAGCAGACUGCUAUGUGAGGCAGUAGUGGGGAGUAUUGCACAGUGAGCGGACGUCUGUGGCGGAAGCGCCGCGUUCGUAAUGCCGGCCUUUGGGUUGUGAACCGCUUUCGCCUGAGACGAAGCGUGAGUGACGGUAACGGGUAAAGAAGCACCGGCUAACUACGUG